rnacentral:lncRNA from 1 species
UUAAGAAUUGUGGAUCCUAAGUGCUAACCAACUAUCUCAAAAAUACAUGCUGAUAGGAAUGUCGCACCUAUCGUACUUAAGGGCUCAAUCACAACGCUCGCAAACUUCAACCUGACUUAAUCCAUCUGAACGUUAGGUCUAUUGUUGGGCCUCUUGCCAUUAGGUCUUUUGUGGACCGCGUCUUUACUCAACUUAUUAGCCUCACCUAACACAACUUAUUAGUCUCCGGAGCCUAUUGUCACGGGAUAAGAUGUUGGACCUAUUUUAGUCUAAUAAUAAAUAGCCAACAAGAAUAGCGUCACUUAUGCCCUUUAGGGCCCGUUUGGUUCGAGUUAUGUAAUAUUACAAAGUAUCUCGACAUAUCCAGGUAUCUUAGAUUUCGGUGUGAGAUUACUACUGAAGCUGCAUUAGAGCGUUUGGUUUAAUACAGUAAUGUAAUACUAGAUUACAGUGUUUAUAUCAUUAAUAUGUUUGGCCCAGUUUAUAAAAUUUAGUAAUCCUGACAUAAAAGUAUAGUUUUUUUCAAAAUUGCCCUUGUUGUGGUCAUUUGAAUAUUAUUUUUUGCGAAAAUGACAAACGGAGGGAAGGAGAUCGUGAUGAUUACUUGGGAGGACGACGCAAUAGAAGAUGAUAGGUGUUCGUGCGAGAGAGAGAGAGAGAGAGAGAGAGAGACGUCGAGAGAGAGAGAGAGAGAGAGAGAGAGAGAAAGUGGCGUGCGAGAGAGAGGGCCGGGGGGAAGGCGAGAGAGAGAUGAAAAUAAUGCUGUUAAUUAGAUUUGGAAUUGUUGGAGGGUAAAAUUAUCAUUUUACAUAAUAUGUAGUAUUAACGGGUUUCAGUAAUAAAAGAUACACGACCCCUCUCCCGUUAAUAUUUUCGAGGUAAUCCUGCUUGAUUUGUAAUGCUACAUUAGCGACUAGAUUACAUAGUAGAUUAACCAAACACAGUUAUCCUGACAGGAUUGCCUGUAAUCCUGCCAGGAUAACUCGAACCAAACGCACCCUUAUAGUUUAAUGUAUUUUCUUUUUGC